rnacentral:lncRNA from 1 species
GCUGCGAGUUACUUUUCCAGUGUUAAAUCAACAGAGUCUAGUUGAUCAACAGAUUAGGGAGGGAAGGAGAAUUUAGAAGAGAGGGAGAAGAAGGUUACACAUGCCUGGCAUGUGUUGCCCACGAUGAAGAACGAGAGAGAAAUGAGGAAAAGAAUACUGAAUUCUGUUGUAAAAAAUGCAUGCCUUCUGUUACAAUUUGCGGGGUAUUUAUAUCCCUUCUUCAGUUCUGUUAUUUCCUAUUUUUAUCCUGGACGCUACACGUGGCUAAUUAGUUAUUUCUUUGUUUUAUCCGGGCUGCCCAAAACGCAACCGUUUAACUAGAAUUGAAUUUCUUGCCGCCUUCUCAUAACGCAGUCGUUUCUUGUAAGUUUGAAUUAAAAUUCCCUCUUCGUCAGUGCUAACCCUCGUCUUCAAUUUCCAGUCGUGACAAUGCCCCCUCCAUGAGCACCACCUUGUCCUCAAGGGGAAACUCAGGGAAUCGUAAGCAGAAGUCAUCAAUAUCUUCCCAGGUGGCUUCGGUCAGAGGUAGGUCCUUCCAUAAAACCAGUAAUUGGGUGGUUGCUGCAUUUCUUCGUUUACUUAUUCUUCUGUUGAUGAUUUGCAGAGGUUGGAGCAGGGAGCGAUGCUGAGGAUUGGGAAGGUCAGAGUGGACUUCACGAUGACCCACGUGUUGCUUGAGCUGAGAGACGUGGAAGACUGGAUGAAUUGUAGCUGAUGCAGGUAAUUGCAAUUUAUAUGCA